GCUCAUGAUGGAUGGGUCAGUCAGUAGAACAUGAGACUCUUAAUCUCAGGGUCAUGGGUUCAAGCACUACGUUGGGCA